rnacentral:tRNA from 1 species
GAGAAUAUAACCCAGUGGUAGAGUGAAUGCUUAGCAUGCAUGAGGUUCUGGGUUCAAUCCCCAGUACCUCCA